CUUCACAUAACAAAACCAAAAUAACCCUUUGUUGCUAUUGGCUGUUAUACUAAAUAAGUCAUCCAAUUGCAACCAUUCCAACAAGUCUCAAACCCAAUAAAUAAAUCUAGCUAUCUGUUUAAUUUCUUCUGACUCUUGUUCUGUGUUUCUUUUCAAUUACUAUAUACAAGGAUUCCAACAAGCAGGGAGAGGUAUGAGUAAUGAAAGAGCAAGGAGUCCUAGGUUGGAAUUUGAUCUGAUGUUGUCCCCCCCACGAACUGCAAACUCAUCCGAGUUAUCGACUUCAGAAUCAUCAUUAUGUUUGUAUUCAUCAUCGGAUCCUGACUCAUGCGUAUCUUCCGAGACUAAUGAUGAAGAGAUUAGAUCCAUGGUUCUCGUAGGUUGUCUGCGAUGCCUCAUGUACGUUUUGUUUUCAAAGGAUGAUCCAAAUCCUAAAUGCCCCAAGUGCAAGAGUACUGUGUUGCUUGAUUUCCUGAAUGACAACAAGCAAAAAAACACCAACAAAACAACCACCUAGUGGAUGCAACUCUGGCGGAGUUAGACUAUUUUAAAUCUUUAGGGUGGUUCAAUAUUUAUAUACAUAAAAUACUAUUUACAGAGAAGAUUAUUAAUUUCUUAUUCCUUUUGUUGUUAUAAAAGUUUAUAUGUAUGAUAAAAAUUAUAAAAAUAAAAACCACUGCUUAUACUUGGGUUACAUUCUCAUGGUUCCAUAAUCAUUUUCUUUGUAGGAUAGCAUGUGGAGUCAUUCAGUAUGUAAGAUGUCGGUAAAAAGUAAGAAAUCAUGUUUCAGAAUUUUUUACAUUUGUUUAAAUAAAAUUUAUAAGGGUUAUUAGUUAA